rnacentral:rRNA from 1 species
GCGGUGGUCCCACCUGACCCCAUGCCGAACUCAGAAGUGAAACGCCGUAGCGCCGAUGGUAGUGUGGGGUCUCCCCAUGCGAGAGUAGGG